rnacentral:misc_RNA from 1 species
UGACCAAUCCCGCUCGCGGGGUCUUGGGCACCGCCUCCGGGCGGGCCUCAAAACCAGUGGCGGUCCGGCCGGGCUCUGAGCGUAGUAAAUCUUCUCGCUACAGGGUCCCGGGCAGCACCAGCCAGCAACCCCCAAUCUUUCACA